CCUACGGGAGGCAGCAGUGAGGAAUAUUGGUCAAUGGACGAGAGUCUGAACCAGCCAAGUAGCGUGAAGGAUGACUGCCCUAUGGGUUGUAAACUUCUUUUAUAUGGGAAUAAAAUGUUCCACGUGUGGGCUUUUGUAUGUACCUUAUGAAUAAGGAUCGGCUAACUCCGUGCCAGCAGCCGCGGUAAUACGGAGGAUCCGAGCGUUAUCCGGAUUUAUUGGGUUUAAAGGGAGCGUAGGUGGAUUGUUAAGUCAGUUGUGAAAGUGUGCGGCUCAACCGUAAAAUUGCAGUUGAGACUGGCAGUCUUGAGUACAGUCGAGGUAGGCGGAAUGCGUGGUGUAGCGGUGAAAUGCUUAGAUAUCACGAAGAACUCCGAUUGCGAAGGCAGCUCACUAAACUGCGACUGACACUGAUGCUCGAAAGUGUGGGUAUCAAACAGGAUUAGAUACACUUGUAGUC
rnacentral:rRNA from 1 species